CGCAUCGAGAGGGUCCGUUUGCAGUUCUGUUUGUGAUAUCAGAUUCUUCGCAACUGUGCACUCUUCUGAACAUAAGCACAAGUCCACGAACCUCGUCAGUCCUUCAGCAUAGUUCCUUUUCGAGUCCGGAUGAGUCGCCCUGCACCCAUUGGAACAGGAGAGAAAGAGUCAUGAUCACUGACUGUGCAACUGGGCUCCCAUGAGUUAUGCAUGUGGGCAGUCGAGAGCUUUUACUUUCACUCUUUGCAGCCCCAGAUACGGCUUCCCACUGCUGCAAGCAAAUAUUGCGGUGCGUUUCUCCUGCCCAUAGCGGAUAUGGAAGGGAGAAAAACAAAUCAUUCGGAAAUUUGACGGGCCCCUCGGUCAAAACAUUCCCGCGUACCACACUCCAUUCAGCUCUAAUAAAUCUAGAGACUCUGACACCUGUAUGAAAAUUCGAGGGAUGGCUGCAACAAACUGGCUUUCAGAAAUGCUCAUCGCUGAGUCUCGAGAUUUAUUGUCGUGACCCUGACACCUUGGUGUCAGAUCGCGACUCUACUUAAACCGAGCGAUUCCUCCUGAAACCAGUGCUGGGUUGUGAUAGCGCACAGUUGUGGAGUUGGGUUUGAAAAAGGAGCUGCCGUGUUUCAACCUGGCAUGCGGUUUACACAGGGGGUAACGACAUCGCCAGUGCGACCCACGCUGUGCUAUUGCAGGGGGUUCUGUUAUAAAGUGCUGACUCAGAUGGAGUCCAGCAUAGGAUUGAUCCCGAAAGCAUGUGACAGCAAGGAGUUGUGUGUAACAUGAAGCUAGCUUGAAUCGUCCGUGAAGAGUUGACGUAGGAUGGGUUGUGGGUUUCAUGAUGUGUUGGAUCUGUAUCUGCGUAACACUAUGCAUUGCCUAGUUUUCGUCUUCUUUGAUGUCCGCUUCUAUGAUGCAUGCUGAGCAACCCACUCUUAUGGCCAAGAUUUAUGGUAGUCCGUAGGACUGUGAGGUUUAUGCAUACUUUGGAGGAGGAAGAGAUCAUGUUUUUAUGCUGAGUUUCACCAUUUUUCAAUUCUUCGUGUGAAGGUUUCUUUCAGUAAUGAGUUUUUUAGCGAAAUUCUUAGGUGUAUAUACCUCAAAGACGGCCUUUUUGGAAAGGACCUACUUCGCAGGCAAUAAUUUGUAUGUGAUAUAAUAUUCGCAGGGCCUGCUCCUCCCGGCCUUUCAGGUUACUUUUGAGAUAUUCACUUGAUCGACUUAGGAGAUUGUUUGUCGACGGUUUUGUUGGAACUUGAAAUCCCUGCUGCAAGAUUUUUUUCAUCGUUGUUCGUUUGCUGAACUUUAGCGAUGCUGUUCCUAGGUCUGACUUUGAAGUGAUAUCUACCGACUCUUAGAUUACAAGCAUAGGCAGUGGGGACACAAAUGCUGGUUUUGUUUGAUCAUGGUGUGGUUUUAGUUGCGGAUUCAGAGAAUUGGUCUGUUCUCUGAUUUCGAUGAUUAAUUCACCUGCAGAGCAUGGAUGGAGAUCGUGCUCUUGCUCAUGUUUAAAUCAGCUGCAUGAAAAAAUAUCUUGGUUCAGUGUCCCGAAUUGAAUGCUCUUCCAUCUGUAAUGCGGCUGGUAUCAUCUGUUUCAAAAUGACCAAGUGAAAGAUUGCCUAGGAGCAAUUAUUGAGAAGCUUCAGAAACUUUUUACUUCACGUGCCGUGUGUGCAAACCCCCUCACCAUUUGUGCUUGAGACUGUCGCUCAUUUUCCUCUGGAGACGUGUUGAACAGAAAAAAGGCGCGCUUUAUACUGUAAUACGAACAUACUUACAACCAAUAUAGAUUGGAAAUGCUGCAGAUUUCUUCAGCUCCUUUAGGGAAUGAAAAGAAUCAAGGUGCAGAAUCUGAUCAGCUGCUGUAUGAUAACUUUGAAAAAGUUUCUCCCGCACCCUAGAACCAGGACACAGGAAUACGAUGCAACAAAGCUGUGCUGACUGAAAUUCUCGGUAAUUGCUCGUAUUUGGAGAGCCAGGCGACUGUGCCAUGGCUUCCAGUCUCGUAUAUGAUCAACGCACGGAAAGUAGCGCUAACCUACUGUCUGUCUGAGCGCCACAGUAAGUUCUGUUUAGUACAAAAGUCAUAGAUGCACAAUUUAGAUAUCUUGGAAAGAUCCACUGGGAUAACCUAUCAUCAUAUUCUCAGGCGGAGGGUACAUUAAAAUGAAAUUGAGUUAUUAUAUUUUUAGUAUGAAGAACUCAACUAAAAUAUAAUAUCAAAACCAACAACAUGAAAACACAGAAAUUUAAGGCAUUAUAACUCAUAUGUCAACUUUGUGAUUGAAGAGAUCACUAUUCAAUAUUAUGAGGCAAUCUUAGUUUAGGUUAUGUCAUUCUUUUUAAGUCAGCUAUGAGUCAUGACAUUAGUCUAGAAUAGAAACAAAUAUGACUUCCAUUGACUAGAAUAGAAACAAAUAUGACUUCCAUUGACUAGAAUAGAAGUCAUGACUUCCAUAUGACUUCCAAUAUAAGGAUGUUAAUGCAAGACAAGAGUAUAUAGAAAUUACUCUAUACGUAAAAGAGAGAGGUGUGCACAGAUAUUUUGAUGGAAAUGAAAGAAAUAGUGAUCUCUUAGAAAUUAUGAAUCUGGUAUCAAAUCAGAGAAAGGAGAGAGUUCAUUCUUAAAUAGGUAAAGCAUUGAUUAUUGAGUACAACAUGUUCUUGAAAAACAUACAUCAGUAAAUAUAUUAUUUUGAGAAUA